AAGACUAUACUUUCAGGGAUCAUUUCUGUAGUCGGUAACUAGAGGAGAGUGAUCUCACUUGGACGGCGUCACAAGCCACGAGGAGGAGCAGGGUGCUCUCUCCUGAGCGCGAAGCGGGCGGGCGGUGCUGCCUGGGCAGGGGCCGCCCGUCAUUGAUGACCGUUCCCGCCCUUUCGGGGGCUGGGAGGGAGAGAGCACAGGCUGAGUGGU
rnacentral:snoRNA from 1 species